AAUCUUUCUUCUACUAUUGCGCAAAUUCCACGUCCUCUGCUGCUAACCCACCCCCAAACAUUAACGAAAAAGCGACCGGAUUGUUUAUAUUUAUUGCAAUAGCGUUCAUCAUAUCUCGUUCCUGGGGGUCUAUAGACACGACGACGCCCAUUACUAUAUGAUUUGAAAGUUUUUUCGUCGGAAAAUAUCACAUUAUUCCACAUAUCUGCAGGUUCAUUGACAAAUUCCUGAGCAAAUAAUACCCUAUUUGCCUUGUUUUGCUCAGUUAAAAAUAUUUUAUUGGCAGCAGCCCGAUUUCUUAAUUCAGUUUCGUGGACUCUCUUCCGGGCUGUUUUCAAUGAUGCAGAGAAAUUCGUUUGCUGCCUUGCGUUAACCACUGUUUCGAAAGGAUAUUCUCCAAUGAAAUUUGCCAAUUGAAUGUUUUCGUCUGCAGUCGUUUUUUUUGGACGACCCGACCCCGCUCGUCUGAUAAUUCUACCAUAUUCAUUAAUUUUUUUUUCGCCAGUAGGACAGUAUUCUUGCUAAUAUGCAGCUCAGUUGCUAUUGUUCUAAUUGAGACCCCAUCCCUUAAACGUUGCGCAAUAGUUUGCUUUUGAACUUCAUUCAAACUUGGCAUUUUUGAAUUGGCACUUGACAUUAAUCAAGGUGACAUUUUUUAAAUUUCAUUUUGAAUUACAUUUUAAAGAGCUGUUUACAAUGUAAAAAUUUUCAGUGUCCCAGUUUUUUAUUUCCACCGAUGGUACAUAUAUUAAAAUUAUAUAUGUUACAGAGUAUGCUGGAAAUGCAGUGAAUGCUAAAAAUUACUAAAUCAAUCAGUGGAUGUCGAUGCUCCGAUAAUAUGAAUAGCUUUGACUUUGAAGAAAAUGUAACAUUUACUCAAUCUCUCUAGGGAAAGUUGACUGGUAUCUAGAGAUUGUGGUUUCACGAGUACAUUACCAAAAAGGUAAAAAACAAACAUAAACAUUUUAUUUGUGAUAAAUAUAUGACAAAAAACAUACAUAAGUUCCUAUAAAGACUUUGUUAAAUGGUCUUAAUAAACCACAAUGAAUUGGUUGCAUGGGAUGGAUAAUCUAUGAAAUCAACUUGAGCUCAACAAUUCAAGUAGGUAUUUAAACAAUAAUGGUAUUACUUCCAUGCCUUUCCUUUAUCUCUUAUAUUUUUGCAAAUAUGGUUCACAUACUAAUAAAUACAUGUUCACAUCUUUGUAUGCAACUUUUUUUUUCAUGUGAAAAAAACCAAUUUAUUAAAGGACGCGUACGUAACAGUUUUGUAAAAAAUUUAAUGUAAUUGGAAAUUUCAAAUUAAGCUCGUAAAGCAUAUGAAUAAGACUCGUUACAAUACAAAAGGCACUAAAGGUAUAUAUUUACCAAAUCUAAUGUUAAUAUGUAGGUAUAUUUUCGGAGGCUUCCACGGUCGGAAUCAAUACAUCAGUGGCGGCUCGUGAAGUUUUCUUCAGAGGAGGCUCAAAUUUGAAAAGCACUACUUUUUAUAUCUUUCAUUAUCUGAAUAUUUUUUUUGUCAUGCCCACGAAAAGAACACUCGUGCGUUGAUAGAUAAAUAAACUUUUGCAUCGAUUAGUCUUUUCAAAAUUGCCCAAUUUUCACCAACUUUCUCGUAAUAGUUCUCCCUUUUAUGAGCCGAAUCUAAAUGAUUGGCAUUGUUUUGUUUACAAGCAUUUCUAAUUUAAUCGAAGAAAAUAUGUGGUCCUAUGAUUUUUCAUGCCUUUCUAUAGCUCGUGACAAAUUUUGUAAAUUAUUUUAGCCUGUUUUACCCCAAACGGAAGAUUUAUCACUUAUAAAUAAUACACAAUUCCAACAGUAUAAUUUGUUUCUUAAAACCGAAGCCGUAAACUAUUUAGUUUUAUUAUAAUUAUUUUCAUGAAAUGCUCUGUUUUAUUUCUAAUUGUAACUGUCAAUACAAUUAAUGGGAGUGAUGGUGUUGGUCUCCCCUUUUGUACCCUUACCUACGUAAAGCCUAAACAUCACCAUCACUGAACAGGGAGCUCGCGAAACCACCUCAAAGUUUUUCCUACUUACACCCGAUUGCGCCAACUAAUAAGAAAGAGAUAAAGUUAUCUGUACGACUUGAUCUGAAAAGAGAUGAACUGGCCGGAGGCUAGCGGCUUGGAGCGGCAGUCCCAUGAACGUUUUAGCCAAUGCAAUACAGACUGACGAUGCGUCAAGGUCUACGGUCUCAAUAGCAAGAUGCAUUCUCGGCGGAGGCUAGCGGCUAACAAGCCUCUGCCGCUGAAACCAAACGCGGAGUGGUGUGAAUGUGAAUUAUGAUUGUGAGGGCCUAAAUAUAAAUUUUUGCGACAUUUUAACCUGAUAUAUGAUGAAAGUAAAUGAAAUCCAGCAAAAUAUUCUGAAAAAUAACAAAUGUCUACAAAAAUAUAAAUUCUUUCAUCGAAAAAAAUUAGAGGAAGCUCAGCUCAAAAAAACAGAGGAGGCUCAGCCUCCCCUGCCUCCUCUGAGGAGCCGCCACUGCAAUACAUGAUCGUUUUCCGGGUUGGAACCGUGUUAAUUGAAUUUUUGGGCUCAACGUUUCGCACACUUUCGUAAGUGGCAUCUUCAGGAGCAGGGUUAAGAAUAAAGCAAAAGAGCACCGUAUUAUACGACGAAAGAUAUUUGCAAAUGACUCCAAUUAUGGGAAUUGCAGCUGUAGAAUUUCCGACCACUGUCAAUCAAGAUUACUCGCCACCCUUACCUUUCCAGGACCGUAUUUGUUUCAAUACGUGAACAGUUAGAUUGUUAAACGGACCGCUUUCAAGGAAUUUAAUCUUAAAAUUUAAGGACACAUGAAAGUGUGGUCCUUAAAACUUUUUAAAUCUUUGCAAAUACACAUUUCCUAGAAAAAUCCCAAUAAAAAUUAACUCUACCAUGACUCAUAUAUGAACGCUCUAAAAUUUAAAGUCCGGCUCUGGCUGAAGUCGUACCUCCGUUGCGAAGCGUUCGUAAUGGUUUUAUUGCAGGUUGCGGUCCAAAGUGCCAAAGAACCCUCAUAAAGUAAUUGACGGCGUUUGCAAUCAUCUUUCGUGGUACUUUAACUCAGUAUGUCAACCAUACCAGAGGCGAAACUCUCAAAAGAGUUGGAAAGUAUACUUCCAGGAAGGUUAGGUAUAGUGCUGCAAAUUCUGGUUCGUUUUUAUGACUGCAUCCUAUUGUGAAGGAGUAAAGUGUUCCACGAUAGGUCUCUGCCGCAAGUAAUCCAGCGGUCAUAAACCAUCAAGUGACCAACUGUCUGCACUACACAGGGUCGUAUGCGCCCGUAAACCUUUAAGAUGAUUUAUGGCACCUCUAUUUACAUUUUCAAUAGAGUUCAUAAUACUUACUUACGGUAAUUGAGAUUGCAGUGCUAUAAAAACGUCAGAGUUGGACCACUAUAGCCGCCUAGAAAGUGUACAAUAGUUGCAGGUGCGCUACCUUUCUAACAAAAAUGUACAGUUCAAUCCAUUGUAAGAGCAGGUAGCUCGGCUCCCUUUUUGGUUAUAAAAGGUCCGUAUUUUGUACAAACUUCAUCUGCCAAAGUAAGUUCGGUCGAUGUAAAUAAAUCAACCGAAAUCAAGUGUUGUUUUUUAUUCUCGCCACCCAACUUAGCGGAAUCUCGGCGAAUGAAAAGCACAAACAAGAGUUAACCCUGCUCCUGAAGAUGCCACUUACAAAAGUGUGCGAAACGUUGAGCCCAAAAACUCAAUUAACACGGUUCCAACCCGGAAAACGAUCAUGUGUAGGUAUAUUGCAAAAAAUACAGAAUUUGCAGAUAUGUAGCAACUGCAAUAAGGAAAAUUACUGCAAAUAUACAUUUAUUUAUACAGUUUAUUUACAUAUAUUUAAAACUCUCGGAUACAAGAUCUAAAAAAACUUGUCAUAAGUUUGCGAAUGAGGUUAAAUUACCACUACAGCCAAAAAAUUUUAAUCCACAGAAAUCAAGAGCUUUUUCUUUCAACGUACGUCCUAAGUUUCCAAAAAAAAUAUCUUUUCGAAAAUCCCUUCUCAUGCUUUCAGUCAUAGUAUAUAAAAACCGUUCAUUCUGCUGUAAAAUUAAAUUGGUAUUUGAGCACGUUCUUAGUUUUUAAUUUUAUCAUCUCGAUGACGGUGAAAAGCCUGCAUACUAUAAGGUCAGAACAUAAUUUUCGCAAUAUCUGCUUUGACUUUAUAUUGUCAGAUGUUUUACGCUCCCAAGGUCUCUGCUUUUGAAUAUAUCGGGUGUUGUGCAUCUUCAAGAUUUACUUAAAAUUCGUGUGCAAAAAUUUGCAAAUUGCUAUUUCGAUGAAGAACACAAUAAACGCAGUCAACAUUCCCAAAAGAAAAAUAAUAAAAACUGAUUGGAUGUCGUGUAAUGAAAAAGGUUUCUCACUUGCGCCAUUUCUCAGCUUUUUAAACAUUAU